rnacentral:sRNA from 1 species
UGCAAACGACGUCUAAAAUUGUCGAUGA